UACGUAGGGGGCUAGCGUUAUCCGGAAUUACUGGGCGUAAAGGGUGCGUAGGUGGUUUCUUAAGUCAGAGGUGAAAGGCUACGGCUCAACCGUAGUAAGCCUUUGAAACUGGGAAACUUGAGUGCAGGAGAGGAGAGUGGAAUUCCUAGUGUAGCGGUGAAAUGCGUAGUUAUUAGGAGGAACACCAGUUGCGAAGGCGGCUCUCUGGACUGUAACUGACACUGAGGCACGAAAGCGUGGGGAGCAAACAGG
rnacentral:rRNA from 1 species